CUGCAACAACAGAAACAUCUACAAGUGCUGCGACGACCACGUCAGAAAUGACCACAACUACUCCAGUGGCUGAAACGACAGCAGUCACAGCUACGACAGCAGCGACUUCCACCGGAGUACCAACUACAACAGCUACAACAGAAACAUCAACAAGUGCUGCAACGACGAUGUCUGAAACAACCUCUACCACUGCAGUGGCAGGAACAACGACGGCAGUCACAGCUACUACAGCAGCAACUUCCACAGAAGCACCAAGUACAACUGCAACAACAGAAACAUCUACAAGUGCUGCGACGACCACGUCAGAAAUGACCACAACUACUCCAGUGGCUGAAACGACAGCAGUCACAUCUACGACAGCAGCGACUUCCACAGGAGUUCCAACUACAACAGCUACAACAGAAACAUCAACAAGUGCUGCAACGACGAUGUCUGAAACAACCUCUACCACUGCAGUGGCAGGAACAACGACGGCAGUCACAGCUACUACAGCAGCAACUUCCACAGAAGCACCAAGUACAACUGCAACAACAGAAACAUCUACAAGUGCUGCGACGACCACGUCAGAAAUGACCACAACUACUCCAGUGGCUGAAACGACAGCAGUCACAUCUACGACAGCAGCGACUUCCACAGGAGUACCAACUACAACAGCUACAACAGAAACAUCAACAAGUGCUGCAACGACGAUGUCUGAAACAACCUCUACCACUGCAGUGGCAGGAACAACGACGGCAGUCACAGCUACUACAGCAGCAACUUCCACAGAAGCACCAAGUACAACUGCAACAACAGAAACAUCUACAAGUGCUGCGACGACCACGUCAGAAAUGACCACAACUACUCCAGUGGCUGAAACGACAGCAGUCACAUCUACGACAGCAGCGACUUCCACAGGAGUACCAACUACAACAGCUACAACAGAAACAUCAACAAGUGCUGCAACGACGAUGUCUGAAACAACCUCUACCACUGCAGUGGCAGGAACAACGACGGAAGUCACAGCUACUACAGCAGCAACUUCCACAGAAGCACCAAGUACAACUGCAACAACAGUCACAGCUACUACAGCAGCAACUUCCACAGAAGCACCAAGUACAACUGCAACAACAGAAACAUCUACAAGUGCUGCGACGACCACGUCAGAAAUGACCACAACUACUCCAGUGGCUGAAACGACAGCAGUCACAGCUACUACAGCAGCGACUUCCCCAGAAGUACCAACUACAACAGCUACAACAGAGACAUCAACAAGUGCUGCAACGACGAUGUCUGAAACAAACACAUCCACUGCACUGGCUGAAACGACAGAAGUCACAACUACGACAACCGCAACUUCCAUAGAAGUACCAACUACAACAGCUACAAUAGAAACAUCAACAAGUGCUGCAACAAUGAUGUCUGAAACAACCACAUCCACUCCACUGGCAGAAACAACAGAAGUCACAACUACGACAGCAGCUACUUCCACAGAAGCAUCAAGUACAACAGCUACAACAGAAACAUCAACAAGUGCUGCGACGACCACGUCAGAAAUAACCACAACAACUCCAGUGGCUGAAACGACAGCAGUCACAGCAACUACAGCAGCAACUUCCCCAGAAGUACCAACUACAACAGCUACAACAGAAACAUCAACAAGUGCUGCAACGACGAUGUCUGAAACAACCACAUCCACUCCACUGGCAGAAACGACAGAAGUCACAACUACGACAGCAGCAACUUCAACAGAAGCACCAAGUACAACUGCAACAACAGAAACAUCUACAAGUGCUGUGACGACCACGUCUGAAAUGACCGCAAGUACUCCAGUGGCUGAAACGACAGCAGUCAAAGCUACUACAGCAGCUACUUCCACAGAAGCACCAAGUACAACUGCAACAACAGAAACAUCUACAAGUGCUGCGACGACCACGUCUGAAAUGACCGCAAGUACUCCAGUGGCUGAAACGACAGCAGUCACAGCUACUACAGCAGCGACUUCCCCAGAAGUACCAACUACAACAGCUACAACAGAGACAUCAACAAGUGCUGCAACGACGAUGUCUGAAACAAACACAUCCACUCCACUGGCUGAAACGACAGAAGUCACAACUACGACAACAGCAACUUCCACAGAAGUACCAACUACAACAGCUACAACAGAAACAUCAACAAGUGCUGCAACGACGACGUCUGAAACAACCACAUCCACUCCACUGGCAGAAACCACAGAAGUCACCACUACGACAGCAGCAACUUCCACAGAAGCACCAAGUACAACUGCAACAACAGAAACAUCUACAAGUGCUGCAACAACGAUGUCUGAAACAAACACAUCCACUCCACUGGCAGAAACGACAGAAGUCACAACUACGACAGCAGCUACUUCCACAGAAGCACCAAGUACAUCUGCAACAACAGAGACAUCUCAAAGUGCUGCGACGACCACGUCUGAAAUGACCGCAAGUACUCCAGUGGCUGAAACGACAGCAGUCAAAGCUACUACAGCAGCUACUUCCACAGAAGCACCAAGUACAACAGCUACAACAGAAACAUCAACAAGUGCUGCAACGACGAUGUCUGAAACAACCACAUCCACUCCACUGGCAGAAACGACAGAAGUCACAACUACGACAGCAGCUACUUCCACAGAAGCACCAAGUACAACUGCAACAACAGAAACAUCUACAAGUGCUGCGACAACCACGUCUGAAAUGACCACAACAACUCCACUGGCUGAAACGACAGCAGUCACAGCUACGACAGCAGCGACUUCCACAGAAGUACCAACUACAACAGCUACAACAGAAACAUCAACAAGUGCUGCAACGACGAUCUCUGAAACAACCUCUACCACUGCAGUGGCAGGAACAACGACGGAAGUCACAAGUACGACAGCAGCAACUUCCACAGAAGCACCAAGUACAACUGCAACAACAGAAACAUCUACAAGUGCUGCGACGACCACGUCUGAAAUGACCACAAGUACUCCAGUGGCUGAAACGACAGCAGUCAUAGCUACUGCUGCAGCCAGUUCUACAGAUGCAGCCACUACAACUGGAACAACAGAAACAUCUACUACAAGUUUUGCGACAACCACAUCUGAAGCAACCACUACUAUUCCAGUGGCAGAAACUAGGACAGAAGUCCGAACUACUACAGCAGCUAUUUUCUCAGAAGCACAAAUUACAACAGCAACAACAGAGACAUCUAGACGUCCUGCAACGACCACAUCUGAAACAACCUCUACUACUGCAGUAGCAGGAACAGCGACAGAAGUCACAAGUACGACAGCAGCAUCUUCCACAGAAGCACCAAGUACAACAGCUACAACAGAAACAUCAACAAGUGCUGUGACGACCACGUCUGAAAUGACCGCAACUACUCCAGUGGCUGAAACGACAGCAGUCACAGCUACUACAGCAGCGACUUCCGCAGAAGUACCAACUACAACAGCUACAACAGAAACAUCAACAAGUGCUGCAACGACGAUGUCUGAAACAACCACAUCCACUCCACUGGCAGAAACGACAGUAGUCACAACUACGACAGCAGCUACUUCCACAGGAGUACCAACUACAACAGCAACAACAGAAACAUCAACAAGUGCUGCAAUGGCCACAUCUGAUACAACCACUACUACUCCACUGGUUGAGAUGACAGAAGUCACAGCAAGGACUACAGCACCUACUUCCACAGAACCAGGAACUAGAUCAGCAACAACAGAAACUUCUACAGGAGGACCAAGUACAACAUCAACCACAGUAACAUCUACAAGUGCUGCAACGACCACAUCUGCAACAACCACAACUCCAGUGACAGAAACAACGACAGAAUUCACAACUACUACUGCAGCUACUUCCACAGAAGCACCGACUACAACAGCAACAACAGAAACAUCUUCAAGUGCUGCAGCGACCACGCCUGAAAUGACCACAACAACUCCAGUGGCUGAAACGACAGCAGUCACAUCUACUACAGCAGCGACUUCCACAGGAGUUCCAACUACAACAGCUACAACAGAAACAUCAACAAGUGCUGUGACGACGAUGUCUGGAACAACCUCUACCACUGCUGCGGUAGGAUCGACGACAGAAGUCAGAUCAUCAACAGCAGCUGGAAUGAUUAAUACAAAUUCUACAACAAUAACAACACUUCAGACUCACACCACCACAUCAACACCUGCAACAAGGCAAACCUUGGCUGUUACUCCCCCGACAACUCCUCAUACAGUCAUUGGAAUAGCACGUUUAAACAUCCGCUUUCUGUUCAUCACCAUAAAAGUCCCUAGUGAAACUGAAAUCCUCAACAUUGCUAAUAAGAUCUUGGGUCCUCGUGUUAGAUCUGAAAAUAUAAAACUGAACGAUCCAGUGCAGAUUAAGAAUAUCACAUAUGAAAAAUUGUCAAACACCUCCUUUGCCUUGGACUUGGGCUAUGAGAUUACUAAUGUGAAUAUGAGUGAGCAAUUCUCACAGAGAAACAAUACUUUUAUUCUCAUCCAAGAGAGUAUCAACAAACUGCUAAAUAAUAUUCUCAACAGUCCUAAUGGAACUCCAUUCACCUUUCCUCAAGCAAACUUUAUUAAUGAACAAAAUGUGAUUGAAGCAAAUAUGACCUACAUCUAUAAGGAAGGGGACAUCAACCAACCAAGCAACUUCCUAUCAGACAUCCUGAAAGCCAGUGGCUUGGAUGUUUCCACCACCACUACAGCACCAACUACCACCACUACAACUCCACCUACUACAACUAAAUUCAACCCCACCUUCCUGCUCACCACACCCCUGCAUGGGGCCUCCAGUGUAGUGGAAAGUGGGAAAUUUCCAGGCUGGGCUUUGGCCAUUAUCAUCCCCUGUGGUAUUGUUAUCAUCCUGAUUCCGCUCUGGAUCCUCCUCUGUUGCCUGUUGUGUGGCUGUUGUGCAGCCAUAAGGCGGCGCUGGAGACGACGGAGGUCUUACAAUGUGCAGUACACAACACGCAAUGGCCUCUUUUGAGAAGGUGAGGUGGAUGUUACUG
ensembl:lncRNA